AGCCCAGUUCUCUUUGGCUUCUGGGAAGCUUGCCAGGUGGAUAGACCACUAGAAGAACUGCCUACUUGAAGGACAGCAGCCGCUCCAUGGCCUUGCUCACAGCCAGCGGUGGGCAGUGUGAAUCCUCUGCAAACUUUCCUUGGUGGAACAAGAGUGACUUCUGAAGCCCAGGUAUGAUGACUAUUUCAUCUGCCUUUUUUUGGAAAAACAGACAAAGCAAAAAGUUUUCCAGGGAUGUGCUGGAAGACUGGUCUGGUUUUCCUUUGACUGCACUGUGGCUUGUGGAGAUCUGCUUAGGCGGGUGUACAGACGGACACCUGUGGUGGUUCUGGGGGCGUGGGCAGCCUGUGGCUACCAGAGGGCAUGGUUUGUGGUCACCCACUGUGACAAAUAUUUGUGGAACGUGGGGCCUAUUUCAGGCACUGGGAGCUGCCCUGUCCAGCAUAGUUUUGGUCAUCUCUGGAGGCCAUCCAAUGUCUGAAUGCUGGUGCUUCAGCCCUGCUCUGCUUCACAAGGUCACAAAGGUGACCUUUAGAGCCAAGUUGUUCGAGGCAGCAUAAAUGGCCACCGAGGUGGUCUGUCUGGUGGCUUCUGGUGUAGAGUGGAUCAUCGUGGUUUUCUCAUCAUCAAAGUGGUCCUUGGAGCAAGGACUCACAUUCUCUACCCAUUGGGCUGCUGCCUUUAUGAAGGGCAAACUCAUCACAGAUCCACAGCCCGGAGCUACCAGCUGGCACCGGGAACUCUGGGAUUGGAAGCUCUCUCCAUAACUUACUUGUUGACAAACUCUGGCGGGGUGUGAACUGAGCCGGUGAAACACUGGGCUGUAGGGGACAAGGCUCCAUGUGGGCCUCGACUUAUCCAUGCGGGCCUCGACUUAUUUAGCAUCCAGGAUCCAUGCACUGUGAUUUCUAGUACUGCCUUAGACUUAAUGUAAGGGAACAUGCGAUCUCAGCCCUUUAUUAACCUUCGAAACCUCAAAAACUUUCAAUCUGAAACCCCUCUGUAUAGCCAAUCGUUCUAGAUAAGGGACUGUGGGGCUAUAACCAGAAAUACAUCUUUAUUUUCUUUUGCUUCAUGCAAAUAUCUACCAAUAAUGUUCUUAAAGAUAAUUUGUCUGGGGAAGUUAAAUAAGCUUUCUGAAAUUUGAUUUAAACUAUUAAUACGCUUUGCAAAAUCAUAUAUUGCACAUAGGCAAAUUCGGCCAUUGUGGCAAAAUUAUCACAAGUCAUGAGUUAAUGAGUUAACUUUGAGUUAACGAGGUUUUAUCAUAAACACAGAGUAGCAUUACUUCCUGUGCCUGAUUUUCAUUAGUACAAAAAAGACCAAAUAAAGCUAAAAGAAAGAAACAGAAAACAAGAAACAGGGUUGCCUGUACUGUGGUCUUGUAAGCAUUUGAAGUGUGGCUGAAUUUUUUAUUUGUAAAGCACUGACGAGGUAUUGGUAUUGCCUGCCCACAUUUUGAUUUGGAUUAAGGCAUCCACAAAAUCUUUUUAGUUCCAGUGGCCUGAGAAUUAUUCUUGGACUUCUGUUCUCUCGUUUUUAAGAUUUUUCUCCUAAAAACAAAGAGGGGAAAGAUGAUUUAUUUAUUUAUUUAUUUUUGGGCAAUGAGACACGGGUGGGGUGGCUGGGGUCCAAAGGCAUUUUGCAAAAUGCAGAUUCAGUCAAAGCCCAGGCAGGUUCAGGGUGGAACUGCAGGGAUGAGGGGAGUGGAGGUAGAAAGGAGGAUGGGGCUUGGGCCUGGGUCCUGGAGCUGGACCCCGUGGGGUAGGCAGCAGGGCUCAGGGCUUACAUGGGGAUGCAGAGCCCUGAAUUCCACUCGGUGUCUUUGAAAUCAGUUUUGCUCCUGUCCAUUUGCUUGCCAAGAGGAGCUAUGUGUUUAGUUCCCACCGAGUAGAAGGCGAUUUCCUGUCUUUUAACCAUAAAUCCACACAUAAAUACUACAUAAUCAUCCCUUUAUUAGACAAAAUGGCUUUCACCUUGAAGCUGUAGGGUUCCUCUCAGAGCUAUGGAUGGCUCUUUUAAAAUCUUGGCCGGCUCACCUUUCUCGUUUUUCCUUGCUGUUCUGGACUCUUCCUGGUUUCUCCUUCCAGGGGACAUUGUCACCGCUCUUCUCCAAAGCUCCAGCUCAGCAGAUCAGCAGUCGGAGGUGGCCGCCUCGCCGUGGGAAGGGUGCGGGAAGGUGUUGACAGGGCAGGUUGGCCCUUCACAUCAGAUGCCCAGAGGAUGGCAGAAGCCCAGCUGCCCACGGAGGUGCUGUUGGAACUGGAAGGGCUUCAGUGGAGGGGCUGUCGCCGCGUGCGGGACCUGCAGGCCUGGCGUGCAGCACGUGGGCGUUGGUGCGUGUCCAGGUGGUGCUGGGCGUGCCAGGGAAGCCGCCUGCCUUGGUCCGCUCCGCGGCUGUCAGCCCGGCCAUGCGUCUUCGCCAGGUCUUGCAGGGGGGAGUCUGCGUGCCAGGCAGGUCCUCCGUACUCUUCAUCUGACGAGAUGGCAGGGACCAGGAGCCGAGUGACACUUUCCUGGAUGUCAGAGGGAGGUCUGAUAUGGAAGUGCAUUUCACAGGAACUAAAUAAUAGCAAAUUUGUCAGAAAAUAUAAGAUUUCAGGGAGAGAGCAAGCGUUGGGUUUGAAAAGACCUUGGGAGUGUUUGGCUCUGGCCCAGGAAGCCUUCAGUGCUGGGUUCCCCCUGCUGCUGGUUAUCAUUUGGAACAAAAUGAAACUGGAUAACUUUGUUAUGUCUUAUUUACUGAAGCCCGCCAAUUCCCCAGUGCCUCCAGGAGAAAGUCCUGGCAUGUGGGGCCCUUCACAUGCAAAUCCAGGCUAGCUCUCCAUGGUGCCCACCACCUCCUCCUGCCACCUGGAGACAUCUGCCUGUGCACUUCUGCACAUGCCCCACCCCAGACCUUGCUUGCCUGGACAGGCGUCUGAUUUCUCACUUUCUCACUCCCGUUCUCUCCUCCUUUGGGUAAGGCUCAGCUCAUCCUCCAAGGCCUUGGCUCAAAUGCCACCUCCUCAGAUAGUGAAGCUCAGGGUGGGGCACUGUGCUGGUCUCUGGGGCAGGGCCAAUGAUGGACAAGAUGGUUUCCUUUCUCCUCAGAUCUUGAUCUGAGAUUGAUGCUACUGUCUCAGAUGCUUCUGUCUCUGUGAGGAUGAGGGGCUGAAGGCCUCGUAGCAAGGCAGAGCUUGGUGGCACGUGCCACACAGCAGCAGCCCGACAGCACCAAUUGCCAGGUGGGCCUCAGAUGCUCCUGUCAUGUGCAGUGAUCACCAUGGUGUGUGGUGAUGUCCUCUUUGCUGUCUUCAGUUUCAUGCUCUAUCUGUGAGUUCAUUAGUUGCAAGACCCAUGACUUUGCUUCUCUGUGCCCCCAGAGCCUGGUCAAUGCCUGAGUUGAGGACGGUGGCUCAGUUGGGUUGUAGGGACUGAGGAUGGGCAGUAGGAGUGAAUGCCCCGCUGUCAGCUCUUGGGACCAGCCAGGAUACAGAAGUAGCAUCUUCACAUGUGGGAAAUGCACUCCCAUGUAUAUAUAUGUAUACCCGCCAUAUCCCUUCAGAUGGCAAUGUGACUUAUUAAGAGUUUUGUUAUUUGGGGAUGGAGGAGCAUCCUUGGUGACCACUACAGAUGCUCAAGGUGCUUUCAGUCCACUGAGGGGCCAUGGGAAGUCCUUAGCAGGUGCUGUGAGGGGUACCUGUUGUCCCAGUCAUGAAGGGAGGAACGAGACUUCCCUUACCAUAAGCUGGGGAUGCCUCACAGGAGUGGAUGGAGGACCAGCAAGCCAGCCCCUGUGGCCAGCCACAGCAUUGGAGUCCCUCAGUGCAGGGUGCCAACCAAGAAUAGUGUGGAAUGUCCUAAGAAGCCCAUAAGGAAAGAUUCUGCAGAGAUAGAGCUGCUGGCUUCGUGGGGGACAUCUGAAGAUGAAGCUACUGUCCACACAAGCUCCAGGCCUUCAACAGUGGCUCACUUAUCCUGAGGCUCUGCCUGGGUACCUUCUGGGGCCUGCCUGUGUCAUGGUCUCCAGGACAGCCAGCCUCUGAAGCUCUGUCCGGGGUGAUGGACAGCUCAUCUUACUCCUGGGCCCUUCUGCCAUUGGGCGCCGGAGCUGGAGGCCCCUCCCUGCAAGGCUCACUCUUCUUCAUGUUGGUGAGGUCAGCCCAGUUGUUCCUCUUUCACUCCCAGGAAGGAAUAAGGGAACUCUGGGAUUGUGGAGGACUGGUGCUGUCCACACGAGAAGGUGAUGCUUCACAGCUCCUAAGUCUGUAUCCCCCAAGGAUGACCUCGGCCCUCCUGGGAAGAGGGGCAGGUUAGGCAGAUGGGACUCUGUGUGGUGCAGACACCAAGUGUUCCCAGCCUUCAGGGGCUCCUGAGGCUCUCAGGUUCUAGAAACACCCACGACUGGUCUAGCGAGACAGAGUUGGUGACCACAUUGUAUGACAUAGCAGCUUCAGAUGAGUAAAUAAAUGAGGAAAUGUCAACAACUCCAGAACCUUCUUCCUUGCUGGGCGUGCAGACUGGCACUAAAAAGAAAGGGAACAAAUUGGCACUAGGGAGACAGGCAUUUCAGGGGUCUUGGAGUCUUGACAGGCCAAUGACAGUAAAUUCUUUUAAAUGGGUAAAGCUAAGAGAAGUGUGUGUGUGUGUGUGUGUGUGUGUGUGUCUCCCUAGAAUUGUACAAGAAGAAACAUCUUCAACCCCUGGAAACUUCAGGAACUUCUACUGUUCAGUAGAAUGGAUACCACUUUUCCCUGCCUGAAGAUUUUAUUACUAUUUAUUUUUAAGAACGAAAAAGUCACUGAAUGGUGUUUCUGUGGUGGGAAGUUUUGGAAUGAAUGGUGAGUCCGAGUGUUGGCAUGAUGGAAAGCUUGGCUGGCCUCCACGGCCCCCGGGGUCUCUGCCCAGAGCAUCAGGUCUGCAGCUCUCACCUGGGCUGUAAUCCCUUCUGCUGCCCUUGGAGGAAAUUGUCCACUGCAUCUUGUAGCUUUGUGUUGCAGACUCCAAGGCAUACACAGCUGACUGUCCCUUUGGUGUUUUAUUUCCUGUGAAGUAACAAAGCCUGUAGUGCAUCUUGGGUCUCCGUGAUAUUGCUUAGAUUUGGUCCCCCAAACCUGAGGUUGGCAAGCUGUGGCCCCCAGAUCCUGUCCACCUCUGAUUUUUACUGCUUGCAAACCUCAAAUAUUUUUCCACAUUUCUAGAUGAUUAUAUAUUAAAUUGCAAGUUGCCUGAGUAACCUCCACAUUUUUGCCACUCGGCCUACAAAGUCUAAAAUAUUUACAAUCUUUCCCUGUACAGAAAAGCUUUCCCAGCUCCUGUGCUAGAAUGCCUGACUUUAAUGAUUGUUAUUGAAAAUAUCAGGGACCAGCCGUGGCAGACAAGCAGCUCGGGAGGGGGUGUGCCCGCUGCCUCUUCUGUUUUACACGGGGCCUGUGGGGCAGCAGGCUGGGCUCUUGUUUCUCCUGCCUGGGAAGGUGAGCGAGCAUCUGGGCUCAGUGAGCCUUGACCCUGUGGUGCGGGGACCUCAGGCCUGGCAGGCCAGCUACCUUGGCUGUCGUCCUGUUUCUGUGCUGUGUGAUCUGUAUGAGCCCCUUCACUACUCUGGGUCCUGGAGUCCUCAUGUUGGACACUUCGUCAUCUUAUUUGCAAAGCAAAAAAUUGACAUUUGCCAAUGUCCCCAUUGGCAACAAGUGCUGUCUCUCCCAGUGCCCUGAGACUUAUCUCAUUCUUUCCUUCCGUGGGCCCCUGGUUCUAAGCAUGCAGUUUUGGGGUGUCCUCUGGAAGGAAGAGAUCGUAUCAGAGCAACAUGUGAUUUCAUGAAUUUCUUGGAGCAGUUUCUGGGUUUGGGCUCUGCCUGUGAUCAGCCAUCAUGAUCAUGCAUUAUGGAUGAGGUACAGCUGUGGCCAAUAAAGAUCCUUCCUUCAGAGUGAAAACAGGUCCCCUCAGCAUGGCCCAGAGGCCUGGCUCAACAGGAAAGGGGCUGACACCUCCUGGCAUGUCCCUGAUGGGCCUUCCGGAACCUUGCCUCAUGUUUGGUUCUUGCUUUUAGCACCCCCCCCUCCCCAAUUCUGAUAGUCCCUAAAUCCCAUGCCUCAAAAAAACCCUUAAUAUUGACACAUACAAAAGCACCAAGGAAGAAUCCAGAGCAAUUCCAGGAUCUGUACCUGGGAAGGAGUCGUCAAAAGUCGCUGAGACACACUUCCAUCCAGCAGGGUUCGGGUGGUGGUAGGUCACUGGGGAGGCAGGAGCCUGAGGCCAGGUCUGGGAGAGGCUGGGUGUGCUCAAGGUGAGAUUCAGGAGGCAAAGUGAGCCACUUCUGCUCAGGGCAGCACCUAAGUACCAUGUUUGGCCAGCAUGACCUUGAGCUGGAGCAGCACUUCCUGAAGUUCAGGGAUCAGGGAAGGAGCCUGGAUGAGGGCCCCUGACACUUCACCUCAGGCUGCAGGCAUGCAAGGGGCCCUCUCAGAACUGAUGGGCCCUGUCCCAAUUUGGUCGGCACCAGCAAUCCUUCCACGAUUGGGCUCACCCAGAAACAUUCUCUGCCACAUCCUCAUCCUGACAGGACACACACACACCUUGUGCCCCCAGGGAGUACCCACCUGGUUUGUGAUCUUCCAGCACAGGACUCCCGUCUCAGUGCUACUCCACUUGAGAUGGUCCAGAAGUUUCUCUGACUCCCAGUCAGCAAAGGCCAGAGUGAUUUACUCUGCCGGCAGCAAUGUGAAAAGCGGAUGCUGUUUGCAGGAAAAGCAUGUGUGCGUGUGUGUGUGUGGAGUCGCCAGUCCUGCACCUUCUUGUCACCCAUGCUCUCCCCUGGGUGCGGCUGAGAGGCCAUGUGCCUCUGGAUAAAGUGUGAUGCUUUAUCCCCUGUGGCAAUUGCUGCUCCUCCAGAAAAGGGCCCACUUAUGUGGAACAGGGCAGAGCAAACACAGAGGUCACUUAUUGCUAACUGGGACCUCCUGGAGCCGCGUGGCCUCACAAAGUCAGUUCUACUGGUCUCUGAUGCUGGUACACAGGUUCCUUGAGUGUUCUGCAUCAAAUGCCCCGGACACACUCUGUGCUCCUUGUUGGGAGGCAGGCCGGGCGCAAGCCUUGGAGUGCCUCCUGAUGGAUGGCAACAGUGUGUGGUGACUUGGGACUGUCAGGGAAGAUGUGGCAACACAGCACGGCAGCAUGCCGAGACUCACUCACCAGUGACAGUGAAAGUGAUAAGGCUGACACCAUGUAUUGAGCACGGUGUGCGGGGUGUUGGCUGGGCUCUUCAUAUACAUCAUUUUGGUCCUUACAGGAAAAUCUGAAGGCAGUUUGUCUCCCAUCUCUCAGAAGAAGAAACUGAGUUUUUGAGAGGUUAGAAAACUUGCCCACGUUCAUAUAUUUAGGAAGAUCUGUUUGACAUGAAAUCUCAUGAUCUUUCUUCCGUAUCACUUGGCUUAAAAGACAAAUGAAAUACUUUCUGAAAAUUGACUUAUGAAAUUUAAAUAGUAGGCUUAAAAUUAACUCUCUUGAAUAUUGAAUAAAAAGUUAACAGUUUUGGUCAAUCAACACAAUUUCCUUUUCAUAAUAAACUGAUAAAAGGAUAAAUGUCAGAGAGGACUGUGGAAGUGGAAUGAAGACAGUCUGCAAAUGCUUGCUAGAGAAUUCAGACUAAAGAAGCAGCGGUGUGAACAUGAAAAUAGGGUGGCCACAUUACACUUGGGUAGGUGGUGCACUGCCCAAGACCUGGGACUUCCAUUUAACACUGUGUGAGUUCUGGACAAGUGGUACACCUUGGAGUCAUGCAAUCGACAGUCUGGGGACAUGAACCGUACACUUAGGGGAGCUUUCUUCACUCUGACGUAGAAUCUUUAUUGGCCCAGCUGCACUAAUCUAUAAUGUAUGAGCCUCAGAGGAGACGGAGCCUAAGCCUGGGCGUUGCCCCACAAAAUGCAGACUGUCACUGACGGAACCAGGCAGCUCGGGUCCCAGCCUGCUGUGGGCUUUCCAUGAUCAAGAAUGGUGAAUUUGGCUUUGAAAUUCUGUUGUUAAACUUACACUACACAGCAAUUUGGAAGUGGAAGAAAAUAACACGGUUAGUGAUUGUCUUCUGUGGUUUGUUAACACAGAGGAGACACGGAUGUUGCCUUUAAAAUAUUUUCUGGAAUUUUUCCUUGAUAAAUAUGAAUUCAUCUGUUAUGUUCUGCUUUGUCUGUUUAGGCAUUAUCCAUCUAUAAUCGCCAAGGUACAUUUCGGUGUGUAUUGAGUAUUUGGUUGCUAUUUCAAGUGCAUAAGGACUUAGUCCAUUUCCCAUACCUGCAAGGAGAGGCUUUCCUCCGGCUGAGCCAGUGAUGGGAGGGAGGGUAUCCCUGCUUUAGUUGGAAACACACAUUUAUUUCUAAAUGAGUGAAAUAAUAAUAGAUGGAAAAAUAUGUUCAUCUCUAGGGUGGAGAUAAGAUUGAGAAACAUUCCUUUUUUUUCCUAAUGUGAUGAAAAUAAGCCUUUUUGGGGGAGAUUAUAUGUUUAGAUAAUAUGAAAUAAGAUGUAGUGAUGAGAUUUUGAAACAGAUCUUAAAGUACCCUUAAAGGUGAAAAAUAAACUAUUCAGGCUAUAAAUUAAAGGAUCAAUAAUGUUCAGGAGGCAGACUGCGAGAAAUGCGCUUCUGUUUUCAUAAAUUAUUUCUCUAUCAGUAGAGAAGCUUUCAUGAAAAAUAAAAUGGCCCAGAGCAAAACUAAUUACGAUAUUUACAUCUUAGCUUGGAAAUUGACUGGAUAGUUAUUUUUUCAUUGUUUCUGUCCAGCCCCCUUAAGGAGAGAAGACAUUUAAUAACAAUGUACUUUGUAGCAUUAUUUAUGGUCAUCAGUUAAAUCUGGCACAUUUGAGGUGGCUUUAUUUUAUAAAGUUCUUCUUCUGGAAAUGGAUUUUCACAAUUUUUGUGUAAACAUUCCGUUAUUCUGAAUCAUUUGACUUGGGAAUUUUUGUCCUUGGAAUUCUAGGUUAUUAAUUUAAUUGAUGUAGUCCUCAGGGAUCCAUUUAUCUUAUCUCUGUAAUCAAAUAGCUGGGAUUUAAGCAGAUGCUAAGCAGAGGGUCCACCAGGGGUCCAGCUCAGGAAGGAACACUUUGUCCCUGCCACUGUCCUCACCGUGCCCUGCGCUGGUGCCAGGCGCGCCCUAGCCAGGGCGACCCCAGAAGCCCUUACAUGUCCAUCGAAGCUCCCGAGUGUUCUGAAGAGCUAACUGAUUGUAGCAACCUGGUCUGGGCACAGCUGGGCACAGCAGGGCACAGCAGGGCAACCCCACUGGGCGGCAUCUUCUCAGUGAAGCGAAAGGGAGAAAUGGCCAUGGUGGGGAGCAAGGGCACAGAGGACCAGGGCCAGCCGGGAGCCGCCCAGGGGCCUUCUCCCUUCCUUCCACAACAGUUGCCCAUGUCAGAUUCGGGGGCUGUUCAUUUGUCCCCAUGAGCGGAAGGCGCGGUGAGCAUACAGCUCAGAAAUGUGGGCCAACUUCCAGUGUCUCCUGUGCACACGGAAACACGCGUUUUCUGGAGGCCCUUGACAGAGGAGGGCCCAGUGGUAGAUUGUUUUCAAGACGCUCCCAGGGAAGGGUGGGCAGCCCAGGUGAUUUGGAACGACUUGGGGGUUGGCGAUUCUUCCCUAGGCCAGAGAACGCUAAGGGCACACUGAGGUCUCUGUCGCAGGGCCUGGGUGAAAGCUGUCUUCAAAAUAGCUACAAAAUGACAUUUUCCAAGAAUAACUGCAGUUCAUCAAUGAUUGGAUGCCCGACAUGUACGGAGACUGGCACGGAAACGUGCCCAUCCUAUGGCGAUAAGUUGCCACCCGCAGCAAAGGCACCCGGUCCUCUGCACCUGCCAGCACUGCCCACCUCCAGAGCUCCCAGUCCCUCAGGAGCGCGCGGAGGUAAUAACCAUCUGGGAAAUCUGUUUAUCAAGGAGAAAGACAAAGGGGGAUAUUGGGAAUAAUAAUAAUAAUAAUAAUAAUAAUAAUAAUAAUAAUACAAAGAUUAAAAAUAAUAAUACAAAGAUUAAAAAAAAUGCAAAAAUAUUAAAAACAAAAAGCAAAAUGGAAAAUGCGAUGGUGGGAACAGCACCCUCCCAUGGAGCUCAGAACCAGAGCAGCCAUACUGCAAUAGGAGUCCCUGGUGGUGCUGCUGGAACUUGUCCUCUUCUCAGUAUUGUCACUCUGCUCCUGGGAAUCUCCAGUGAGGGGGCAAACAUGGAGGAAAGACCUGACCCCAAGAAACCUGAAAAAAACAGCUGAUUCCAUGCAAGAGUGGAGCUCUAGUUCACGGUAGAACAUCAGACUGGGGAGGCCAGGCAGCUGUCUGCUGCCCCUGGGAUACACGGUGAGGACACUGAGUUUAUCAACCCCUUCUGCACUGGUUCACUGCACCUUUAGGUUGAAGGAGGAGCUGGGGAGGAGGGUUCUCGGUGAGUGCAGAGCUGGGCAGAAGGAGUUGCAGGGACCUGUCCUGUCCCUGAGACGCUCUCACUGGGCGUGGUGUGUCAUACAGGAAACCACCAGUGCUGGACUGUGUGCAACACGAGGACAUGAUGGGACAAGUGGUGGGUCGGACGGAGGAGAUCUGAGAGCACCCAUUUCUUAGCCUUUGUCUUCCAAAAGAGAGGCAUGGUGAGACCUUCCCUGUCCAUCUGAUCAGUCUGCGGCAGAUUGAGGAGAUAUUGUUUGUAAAAACUCUUUGAAGAGACACACUGAAAGCUAUUGAGCAUGACACACACUUGGUGAGGGCAUGUGGCAUAGCAACUGAGAUCAGAUAAAGGACGAGAUUAUGGAGAACCUUAAAUUUAGCUGAGCACUUGCCUUAUUUUGAGGGUAAAAGAGCUCACUAGAUGUUUAGAUGCUGGGAAAACCAGGAACAGUAGCAAUUUCAUUCAUUCAUAAAUGUGUGGAAAACUCAGCAGAGAGUAAAGAGAAGAGGAAGAGAGUAUCCUUAAGGCUUUGAAUUCCAGUUCCACAGUGCUGGCAAUCCUGGAGUUGGAAGGGCCACUUUUCAGGGAUAGAGGAGCCAGGCUCUGAGACCCCAACCAGUAGGAGAUGCAUGCCCCUUGAGGGCGGCCGUCCUGUGGGGAGCUGGGAUCCCCAUCAGGAGCCUGAUUUGAUUGGCAGCUCAUAUGCACUGUGAGGUGGGCUGUCGAUGAGCAGAAGUGGGUAGGGAAAAUACAGAGGAUCAAGGACAGAGCCUUAGUCUAUAACAGGACUGAAUCAAAUCGAAUCGAGGCAGGAGGAGCAUCCAUUUGCAUGUCCUUCCCCUGGACUCAGCUCAUUGAUGUGUUAUCUAGGUCAUUUUCUUUGGUUUGUUGGGUGGAAGGAUCCCAGUUAUGUGCCUCCCAUACCCAGCUCACCUUCUGAUAACAUGUGAUGUUUAUUUGGAACCAUCCUGCCCUUUUCUGACUCCCCACAGGAUUGUGAAUUCUUGGAAAAUGGGAAGGUGUUAACCUAAUGCCUGGCCCUGAGCAUUGUGCACAGCAGUGUGACAAAUGAUGGCAUCCCAGUCCAGAGAGAAGAAGGCUUGACAAGGUGGAGUGGAGGACCAGACCAGUACAUAGGGCAGCAUGAAGAACUGAGCUUUCCUGGAAUACAGGGUUCAGAUUAUUAGGGAUCUUCAAGAGGCAGAGUCAGCAAUCCUGUGGUGGUCCCAGGAAGUCUCAUUUGGGGGAGGAAACUGGCAGGGGCAGGAGAUUGGAGAAUGGAAUGGGCAGGGGUCGUUGGCUCCCAGAGUUUGUGGGAACAUACAGGAUUGAUGGAGGAAAAGAGAAACAGAUUUCGUCCAUGUUUAAUUAUUGUUUUUGAGGGAAACCAGGAUUCAUGGAUAAACUAUAGUUGGCUCCUAGGCCUGCAUAAUACCAGACAUUCAAACAAGUUUGGUGGUGUGCUAUCGGGGUUGCCUGAAAAAUUCUCCUUGGGCAUCACAAGCUGUGACCUGGACAGACUCUAGUCUGUCCAGGGUUAUGCUAACUUAGAUGGCAAUAGCAAGCUUUAAUUUAUGACUUAUGACCUUCAUGUAGGUAGCAUGUAACAUGUCACUGGCUCAUCUAUCAGGGUGAAGGCAAGGACGUUGGUGGCCUGAGAGCUGGGGAGAAGGUGCUGCCUGUCUGAGUCUGAGCUGGUUCAGGAGCACAGAGGUUCCCCUGGGAUGGUGGGGCUGGAGAAGGGACACCAAGAGCUGCUUUGUAUCCCUUCGUUGACUCAGAAAGUAUAAAGUUUUCUUGCAGAAAAUUUGAGGCUUACUCUUUUUGUACCUCCAAACCUUUCUUGGCAUGUUUGUUAAAAUAGUCACCUUGGUUUAUUCCAUUUAUUCCACUUGAGAUACGGGAUUGUCUCAGGCUGUCUGGGCUGCCUUCAGGACCUAGCGGAAGGCUACCUGCUCCUGCAGACUUCCCCAACCUUCUCACAGUCAGGCGCUCCCUUCUCUGUAGUUCUUUGUGCUGGUGCUGUGUGUGUCCUGUGGUGAUGUCAUUUGUUCUGGACUCAGGGACAAGGGAGCUAGACGGAGCUCCUGCAGGCUAGGGGCCGUGUUCUAACGCUCUGUGUCCUUGGCCAGAGCAGGCCCCAGUCAGUCUGGUGGCAGGCAGAGAGCUUAUACAAAGGGAUUGAUUGACAUGUAGUUGGGCGCUUCACUGAAGAGCAAGCUCUGGGCUGAGGAGUGGGGCAAAGGAGACUCCAGCCGGUGCUGAAUUUUCUACCUCUGGGGAGGAGGGGAGCUGUGCAGGAAAGAAUCAAGAAGAAACUUUCUUAAUUGUGACAAAAUCUUAUGCUGUGGAAGUGACCAGAGGAGGCUAGGAAGGAAUCUCCCAGGCAGACGCUGCUGGAGAAGAUUCUGGACCACAGAUGCCCACAUCCUGCUUCAGAGGGGAGCAGCUUCAUCAUCCAGACUCUUGUGUUUGUUUGCUUGUUUUUAGAAAUCUUGUUCUUUCUGGUGGCUUUUCUUUUCAACUUUUUAAAAAUGAAAACCAUGGCUUCUCUUCUGUGUGGCUUCUGCCCCCGAAGAUACAAUAGCCUUCUGUUUCACUAAUAGACAGUGUUCCCCUCAUUCCCAAGAGUUUGCCUGCUGCUCAAAAAUAUUAAAACCAGCUAAAUGGUUUAAAGUUUGGUAAUAUAAUGUUUCAUUGAGAUGAAAAUAUAAUACAUUAACAUGAUUUGAUUAAUAUGCUGAAUGGUUUAUUUGAACUAUAAUGAACCCUAAUGAUUUUGUGAGCAAAUUGAAUUACAAUUGAUAUGUUUCCUGUUUCAUAAGCUAAUGAGUAACUUUACAUUUGUAGAGGGCUUUAAAAAAAUCUUUAAAACCAUAAAUAUAAGGUUUGCACAUAUUUUAUUGCUCUGACUCAUUAAAUUUCACCAUUUCUGGAAAUUUCCAGGAGGUUUGUCAUCGUCAUUGGUGUGAAUUGAGAAAGACAGGCAUGGGAUCUGGAUGUGGGGAGCUGGUAAAAGGAGGUAGUGGGCAUUUCCUGGCCUUGAGGAGCCAUUUGGGUAGGACAGUCCCCAUCUACCAGGGAUUUAGGAGAAAGUCUGUGAAUAGGAAACUUUCAAAAAAACUUUUUUGAAAACUUUCAAAAAAACAAAACUUUCAAACAAAACUUUUUUUUUUUACUUAGAAUGUGGGGUUCCUGUAUCAGGAUGGCAGGUAAUAUAUGACCGUCCCAGCCUCUUGUGGCCAUUCAGUCAGUGCCUGCAAAGAAGGGGUAAUAAAAAGACCUUGACCUGGAGUUCCAGGCUGCUGACCUGCAUCGGAAGUGAUGUUGAACAAGUAAUUAAUCCUUUCAGCCUCCUCUUCUCAUCUCCCACAUAGAGCAGUUGAUAUUCACUCUGUGCCAUCACAUGUUCACCCUUAACCGCGGCAGACUAUUGCAGUUGGACGUGAACAAGUUCUUCAAACAUACACUGUCCCUUCUUGGGUCAGAGUCAAGUAGCUUCACAUUAGAAAGGUCACUGGGGCUUCUCAGCACCUAGUCUUCAUGGUCAGGCAUGAAGAGGGGUGGACACCAGUGGAGAGGUCCAGUUGGGUCCAGGUUCUUGGCAUCCCAAAGAACUGAGCAAGAUAUGCAGAAGAAACAGGAAGAGUAUAGAGUUAUUACAAGUGAAAGUGAAGAGCCCUGCGGAGAGUGGCUCAAGGCCCUGACGCCUGGGGAUUCUGAGAGCCUUGUUCUCCUCCCAAUAGUCCUGAUUGAAGACCUUGCCCUGUUGUUCCCAUUGGUUACUUUAUUUUACCUCAUUAGAACACAGUUUCCAUUGGUUGCUUUAUUUUUGCAUAAUUAGAAUACAGAACUUGUGGCUGGAGUUGCCAUGGUGAUAAGCCUGCAGUGGGGGCGUUGCCAUGGUAAUGGGACUUACUGUAAACAGGGAUGUUAUGACUCAUCUCCCUGUCUUGCAUCCCCCUUUUUUCCCUUGCACAUUUUUCUUGUACCCUGCCUCCACCAUCUUGCUGUCCCCAAACUCCUAACUCAGGGUCUGGGUGAAGCAUGUCCCAGACUUCUCUUUCUUUUCAUAGGGCAUGUCCCAUAUGAAAAGAAAUAGGAACUGUUGGUGUAGUGGACAACGCACACUGGGAUGGCCCCGGUCUCCUAAAAGUAGCAAAGGACACUUGGAGAGGGACUAAUUUCUGAAAAGCAGGCUAAUGACUAAUUUAGUGGUGACUUGCAAUCACAGACUGAUAAGGACUGAGUUAUCUGGAUCAUAAGAAUAUUAUUAAUAUUUAGAACAAAACCAUUUAGCCACAUCUGAUGUCAAUAUAUCCUUUUUGUUUGGUGAAAAUGCAGUGGAAGUUAUCAACAGAGACUACCACACCUCUACGCCUCUGAACUGCAUUUCUAGAGAUUUCCAAGCCUGAAUGCCAUGUCUGGCUAGCUCUCUGUGUGACAGUGCCUCCUACUGCAGAGGGCUGUAGGGCCGUUUGGGUGUAACUGCACCCUUGUGAUGCAAAGCCAGCCAGCGGUUGUGAGGGUGCUCACAUAACACCUGCUUUAGAGAGAAAGCUCCCGAAGGGAGGAAAGAAUAAUUCAGGCCUUACAAAACCUUCCUUUCAGAUACAGUUGUUGGCGGCUUGUGCCCUCGAUAUCUAAGAAAUGUGGAAAACAGGUCUCUAGACAAAUGUUAACUUGGAAACCAACCUGAUCUUUAAUUGGUCUAGGGGUGGUAGUAGGCAAAAAACCCACCCUGGCACAGGAAAUAGUGCUUAAUUUCCUUUACUAUUGUUUCUUAAGUGUUUCUUUUCUUUUGAGAUGUAUCCCUUUAUAAUUCCAUUGAAAAUUAUGCACCCUUUCCACAGAGAAAUGCAUAGAAUUCAUAGAAUCUGGGUUCAUUAAAGUCCUGCUGGUGAUCACUGUUUGCUUAAAGCCAGAACCUUUUGCAUUUAGUACUCCUGUGUUUCAAAAAUAACCUGGUUUUGUUUUGUUUUCCUACAGAGAACUCUGGAGUGUUGCAUAGGAAGGCAGCUCGUGAGAACUCCAGGUCCCUCCCCGUAAGUGGUUUCUGUUAACUGUACAUUGGGGACUGACUACUUUGUGUUGUUUCCUGGUUUGAACUGGAUGCUGGCUCUUGGGUAAACAUGAUUUCCUUCCUUCUCAUGAGAAAAUAAAAUUACCCAUUGAAAGAAAUACCUGAGGGCUUUGGUUGAAGAUCUGUUUGAUUUAGACUUUGAGAUAAUAACCAAGCAUAUUCCAUAGGAGGUUGGGUUCCACCUGUCAGAACAAGGCAAGGCCACCUAAAAGUGAUGAUGGGGUGUGAAAUCAUACCACUUGUGUUCCUGGAAGAGUAGAUAUUAACCACUCCUUCCAAUGUCUGCCAGUGGAUGGCAGCCGCAAGGUACAGGACCAGAGAAGGUUUUAGAACUAAUCAAAGCAUCAUAGGCAGGGAGAACUCUUGAUGAUGUCAUGAACUUCUUCCGGGAGUGAGUUAAGAUCUCAGGGCCACAGAAACAUGCUCAGCCUCUUGGUUUCCAGGUCCAUUUUGGUAUAUGUGUGCUCUGCCAAGGAGAUCUCAGUCUGAUGGAAAGUGGAAAAUUGAGAAUAACUGUCCAGAGUGCAGUAACGAGCAUGGGUGAUUUCAUGUUCCAAAUGUAAUUAAGGAUGCAUUAAUACCUUACGACACACGACACCUACUCAGACUCAGACUUGGCAAAUUCUAGAAAUACCGCAGUACACUGUGGAGAACCAGAGUAAGCUGUGUGCCCUUGUGAGCUGAGUCGCUCUGCUCUAGCGCUCAGGGGAGCAUUUCUGGGUCUGCAAGGCUGGCGAAGCCAAGAUAGAGGAAAUGAACUCUGGAGCUUGAACUUAGCCUUGUCUCUGAUAAAGCAAACCAUGGGCACAAAAGUAAAAUACUAAACAAGUCAUUUCUCACAGCUUUGCUUAAUUCCAGGAGCAGUGAACAAAUGCUAGUGGUUAUUUGUGAUUCCUUUUUAGUUUCUUGGUGAACAAAGCACCUUGGGUCUGGAUAAUUCCCCACCUUCAGCGGAGAGUCGAGAACAGGCUCCAGAGGGCCAGGGCAGGCCUGUGGCUUGGCUUUGCUGGCACAGAUGCAGGGGUGACUGUGCAGAAGCAGGGAUGUGAGCUCCAUGGUGGCAGUGGUGGCUGCAGGGUUAGGGAUCCCCCAAGGGGUCCUGCAUCUGGUUUUGGGAUAUUGGCCAUGUUAGUGGCUGGCACUGGGCUCCUGGGGCAGACAUGAAUGUGGCUGGGUCAGUGUUCCUUGUGUGUGGCCUCAAGCCCUGUUCUUGUCUUUCUAGGAAGGGAGGAAUUGUGUUUCUGUCUGCAUUAGCUGCUUCUGUCCUACUAAGAUCCCUGCGCUGAGUUCCUACUCAAGUCCUGUCUUAAGUCCGCAGUGUGUUUUCUCCCCUGGUAUUGCUGUGACCUGGCUGUGGAGAGAAAGCCCCUGCUGAGAAGCCAUACAGCCAUGUGUUUCUGCUGCUCAAUACCAGCAUGAUUGCCCAGAUGCAGAGAGGACCCCAGGAGCACCAUACCCCUGCUGGGUGCUGAGGAUCACGUACCUCCAUGGACCUGAAUCCUGACAUGCUCACGCUACAUGUCAACACCUGUUUCUACUCUGAAGAAUAUCAAGCAAGAUCAAAAAAAUCACAUUCAUUUCCAAGAAAGAUGCACACCUAACCUCUGGCUAUAGCCAGAACCAAUUAAGGGAAAAAGAAAAGUGGGGCAAGAUCUUUCCAAAUCUGGGGCAGCUUUGCAACAUCGUCACCCCUAGCCAACCCUGGUCAGUUCUGCUGGAAUCCCCAGGGGGCGGUGGCAGCAGAGCAUUUGAAAGCUCCCAGCCCCAUCCUGAUCCUCUCAGCAGAACUUUGGCCUCGAAGCUCGGGGUGUGGUUUCAGUAUCAGGUGCACAAAGAGGGACUAUCGACUGCUCUGUAACGUAUAUUCCCUGAAAUGGCACUGACCUUGACUCCCAUGUUGCCUUGAUAUCAGAUCCAGUGAAACCAGGCACCACUACUGACAAGUCUCCUUUAAUCUCUGCUGCUCUUCAGGUCUCACUGACCCAAGGUGUGGCUUGCCGUGGAGGCUCAUCUGCAUUAGAAGGAUUCAAUUCCUCUUCAAACUGUAUUCCAUUAGAUCAUUUUCCAUGUGUGUGUGUCUGCCCUUGCACUCCAAAUUUUUGUCUUUAAGCAGUUUAAAUAUUUGUGUUUUUUAAGGCAUGAGAGAGGAUAUUACUAUGUUUAAUUAGUAAUGUCAACUCAUUGUGUGUUAUAAGGGUAUUCUGAAAAACUAUGCUAUUAACUCUUCUGAUAGGGAAUUAAUAUCCAGAAUAUGUAAAGAACUCAAAAAACUUAACACCCAAAAAAGAAAGAAAGAACCCAAUAAAUAAAUGGGUAAAAGAACUAAAAAAACCUAAAUAUUUCCCCAAAGAAGAAACACAAGUGGCCCACAAGUAUAUGAAGAAAAUUUCAACAUCCUUAGCAAUCAGGAAAAUGCAAAUCAAAACCACACUGAGAUUUCAUCUCAUUCCAAUCAGAAAAGCAACUAUCAAGAAUACAAAUAACAAUAACCACUGGUGAGGAUGUAGGGAAAAUGUUAACUCACACAUUAUUGGUGGGACUGCCAAUUAGUACAACCACUCUGGGAAGCAGCAUGGAGAUUCCUCAAAAGACCAAAAGUGGAGCCACCAUAUGACCCAGUUAUUCCAGUCCUUGGUAUUUAUCCAAAACAACUAAAAUCAGUAUGCUAUAGUGAGGCAUGCAUACCAAUGUGUAUGGCAGCACAAUUCACAAUAGCUAUAGAACCAGCCCAGGUGCCUGUCAACAGGUGAUGCAUAAAGAAAAUGUGAUAUAUAUACAUAGUGGAGUUUUACUCAGCCAUAAAGGAAAUGAAACUAUGGCAUUUGCUGAUAACGGGAUGGAAUUGGAAAACAUCAUGUUAAGUGAAAUAAGCCAGACUCACAAAGUUAAAGGCAAAAUGCUUUCUCUCAUCUGUGGGAACUGAAACAAAAUAAGGGGGGAAAAGAGGUGGGGGUAGAUCUCACAAAAUUAGAGGAGAGAUCAGAGGAAUAGAGGAAGGGGAUGGAGGGGGAGGGUGGGGGUGAGUAAAGGUGGGCAAAGUGGAAUGGAAUUGGCCAACAUAUGCUAAAUGCACUUAUGAAUAAAUCAAAGUGAAAUUCAUUUUAUGUGUAACUAUAAUACACCAAUUAAAAAAUAAUAAAUAAGUAGAAGGACACCAGUAGAUUAGAGGAAGGGGGUCAGGGAAGGAAUGAUGGAAGGUAAAAGGGAAGGACUGGGGGAUUGAGAAUGAGCAAACUGUAUAUGCAGUUGUGAUCAUGUCACAGUGAACUUGUUAUCAAGUAUAACCAUAAUGCACUAAGGAAAUUAUAAAAAUGUGUCAUUCUGCCUUUUACAAUGAUUUUCAGUGAUGGCUUGAGUUUUUUUUCUACUGCAGCAUUUGGGUUUGUAUUCAAAAUUUAAUACACCUGAUCUCUUCUCAUUACACCAUGUUGCAUACAUCCAAUUAGAUUUCACUAAUUGGCUUUCUGCCAUCAUGUUUCAAUGUCUUGUGUUCAGGCAAAGUCACUGUUAGCCUCCCACUACUCAUAUUGCCAAUUGUCUUGUAACCAGGUUUAAGAAUCCCUUGUGAAUUCACAAAGGAGUUCUUUCAGAUGGUAUGUGUGCACACAUGUGUGCAUGUGUGUGUGUGUGUAUGCAUGAGCAUAUAUGUGUACACGUGUUUGCCCAUGUUGUGUGUGUACAUAUGUGCAUGUGUAUAAGUAUGUGUAUGUGCAUGAGCACAUAUGUGUGCAUGUGUUUGCACAUGGUGGGUGAGUACAUGUAUGCAUGUGUGUGUAAGUAUGUGCAUGAGUGCAUAUGUGUGCAUGUGUUUGCACAUGGUGUGUGUGUCCCUGUGUGAAUAUGUGUGUGCAUGUUCAUGUUCAUGCAUGCAUGUGCUCCUGCUUGUGUGUUGUUUGUGCAUGUGUGUCUGCACGUGCUUACAUGUGCAUGCGUGUGCACAUGUGUACAUACAUACAUUUAGGUGUCAGGUUUCAGAUGAUGGUUUCUCAUCACUGUAAAUAGAGUGCAGCUUGAAGGUGAGUAUGUUUAUUUGAUUUGCCAUCCAAUUACAAUGUUAGAAAGAUAAGGAUAAUUUAUUUUAAGCCAUAAGUGAUAAAAAAUGGAAUACGUUCAUAUUUCUCAUUUAUCACCAAUUCUGAUUCAGAUAGUUCAUAUUCCCUACAUCUAUACAUAGCACUAUAACCUUGAAAUAAAAUUUGUUUUUCACCUGUAGUAGAGAUUUCACAAAACUCACGUGAAGUUGGUCUUAUUCUGGUCUUCUGCUGCACAUGGUGGACAUCCACAGGAAUGGCUUUCCGCUUUGGCCUGAAUGUUUCACUGAGACUGUGAAGAGUAGUCACAGCAGGAACCGGUUCCUUCAGUGGUAACAAAGUCUGGAAAUGAAAAUAACGUACAGUUUUAGGGAAAAAAUAGGAUGAGAAGUACUCAGUUGAUAUCGUUGUGCCUUUUAGACAGAAAAAAACUUCUUGAUAAGUUUAGGCCUAGUUUUAGUCAACAUAUACAUUAGUGAUAGGCAGGCCCUGUCCUGUAAUUGGUGAGCCGUUAAUAUGUGUCAUGUGGUCACUUGAUCCUUGAAGUUGCCAUGCGAUGUUCACACUGUAUUCUUCUUCUGCAUCCUUUAUCUGUGAAGCAAGAGGGCAGGACAGAAUGGUGGCCUGGGGGCCUCUGGCCACCUGCACCCUAGAAGCCCCUGGCCUUGUCCUUUGAAGUCUUUUACAGAAUCAAGCCGUCAGUAAGUUCUUGGAAACAUACAGGUGAGGAUGACAUUGCUGCAUUUCGCUGAUGCUCAGGUGGACAUUUUGCUCCCUUUGUUACCUCUGAAAUUAAGGUGGAUCUUGCAAUCCAUGAGGUGUGGAAGUUUGGUUGGCAGUAUGUUCCUCAUGUCCUGUCCCUUAGUGCCUUUCACAGGAAAGAGCGACUUGGAGUCAGUGAGAUGUGGAAUCUCAUCCCAUCUCUUUCCGAAAAAGAAUUUGAAGAAGUUUAACAAAGUAUACAAAACAAGGUGAGAGAAAUAGGUUGAUGAGGAAGAGUAAAAAUUAAGGUAAGUUGAAUCCCCUGCUCCAUACAUGCACACAGGGUACGAGGUUUGGGCAGUCUGUCACCCUGGGAUCUAAAUGUGACUCUGGUUUUCUUGGUUCCUAAGGCAGAAUGAGAAAGAAGCCAGACCCUUCCUUCCUAGCAAAAGCUUAAAUGGAGUUCAUGGAACAUUCUUCAUUAUGCAAUAAGCAUGCGCCACCCAUGCUGCUUCCUCUCUCGAGGCUCCUGAGAUCUCAGGAGUCUCCCUUCUCUCCUUCCCCAAGCCCUGGCAACAUCUUUUUAUUCUAUAAUUGUUUAUGCUGACUGUGCUGACUCUCAUUUACCACUAAGUAUUAAUUUCAGCUUAUUGGGAAGCCCACCGCCAAUGUUUCUCAGUCUUGAACCAGUAACUUGCUGCUGGAGCAAGCUAGUCUCUGACUUUUGUUUUCUUCUUAGGCUCAAAUUGAUAAGAUUAGACGGGUGCUAUUUUAGGCCUAGAAUUCAAGCUAAUGGUUACUGUUUGGAAAUACUUUGAGGUGUUGCAUUUGCAGCAGAGAUUAUCACAGCAGCAAGUCUGUUUAAAAUUUGUGCUCAUUUCAGUUUUUCUUGCCAUCUUGAAUUGUAUUGAUAUACGUUCCUAGAUUCCUGGGUUUAUCAUCACCUCUGCACUGUCUAUUAAGAAGCUGUGGGAGAAGAGUAUCCAUCUGGGUCAGAGUGACCUUAUGGGGCUGCAGUCUGGCUCCAUUUGAUGGUGAAGCAAUCCUUUUCUUGCUUAGUCAAAAAGAAAUUUUCAAGUCAAGUCUAAUGGAAACAUUGACAAAUUUUGCUAUUUUGCUCAUAGGAUUUUAUUUGUAUUGAAACAUUUUCUUUUAAAAAAAAGCAUUACAUUUUAAAUAAUUUUCUAUACAACUUUAAUCAAUUUCUUUACUUGGCUUGUUGAUUAGAUUUUCUUUGGUUGUAAUUAGUGAGAUGAAACAUUGGACAUUGAGGUGCACUUGACCUUUUUAUAAUUAUGCUAGUUACAAAUCAUGUGUAAGUUAGAACUUCCUGGAAAGUUUUGUGGGAAGGCAUGGGUGGUCUGUGAUACCCAGAGGUAUUUAAUAAAAUCCAAUGCAAGAUUGUUAAAUAUUCAAAAAUCGCUUACCCUAUUUCUGUAGGUUUCUUGCAUAGUCAGAAUGCAAUCUGAGUUUAGAAAACUGCUUCAUUCAUCUUGGAAGGAAAGACCCUGCAGAUGCUUUCCUGUAGGACAAUUAGUUGCUGACGCAGAAGCAGGUGUUGGUGAAGCACAUUUGUGAACCGAUGCUUCUGCCCGGCAGAAGGUUAUCUCUGAGUUGUUUUAGCUGAACAUGAAAUGGGAUGUCCACGGCAAUUCAAGGCCAGCGGUCCAUGUGGUUCGAUAAUUACUUUUGCCCCUUUGCUUUUGUGGAGUCAUUCAUUAUGAGACUGGGCUUAUCUUGUCGUACCUCCCUGUCAUUAGCAAUGUUGUAGUGCAUUAGUGACCAAAUGCAGGUUUAACGGUCAGGGAUUAGAGCAGGCCAGCUGCAAGCAGAGAGAGCUGGGUUUGGAACUCUGUGAUUGUUCAGUGAAUUUCUGCUGUGGUAUAAUAACACUGGAAUGGUGGAAAAUGGGCUUUCUCUAAAGAGGAAGACAUGAAAAUAGGGAGCUCAAACAGAAAGACAAAGCCAACUGGGUGCUUAAAAGGUAUAAAUCAUUGAAAGUUUCCAAGUUAAAUCAGGAAUGUAACUCUGACUUACUUAGAAAUUACAAAUCUAAAGAGUUUCAUCUUUCACAGGAGAAGAAAAAGAAAAAAGAAUCUGUAACAAAUCAACUCUAAUUUAUGAUGAUAUCAUGUGAAAUACCCUCCAGUCUGAGCUCAACCAUUUUGGACCUGUGAUCUUUUUAUAAAACCAGUGUCCUGUCCCAUGAACGUGUACCCUUAGCUCCCUCCAUGGCCCCCACCAGCCCCCACUGGCCCCCAUGUACCCAACAGUUGUUUCUCAGAAGGCCUCACUUUCUCUGAUGAAGGUCAAAGCCAAGGUGAUGUGCUGGGGAUUGAGUCCAAUGUAGGAGAUACUGUUCUGCUGCAAACAUAAGGGGAAGUUCAUUACCUUUCAAAAUAUAAAAUUUUUUUCCCAGAUAAAAAUUGCAUUUUCAACCCCAUACAAAUCACAUCAUUUAUUGGAUAUUGGCUCUAAGUUGACUUAUGCAUCUUUAUGCAAUUGAAUUAUGCAUCUUCAGACUUAUUUGCUUUUAAUUUAUUUGCUAUAAACUGUUUUUUUGCACAGUGGAUUGAACUAAAAAAUACAAAAGUAAGUAAUUUCUAGGAAGCACAUAUCCAAACCCUUUAAAGAUUUAUGAAAAUGUGUGUGAGGCUUUUACAUUUCAAAAGAAAUUAUGGGAGAAAUAACCAAUAUUCAAAAGUUAAUAAUAGGUUAAGAAAUUAGACUAAAGCAUCCAUGGCAACAUUAAUAAGAAGCCUAAAUUUCAUGAGUAUGAAAUUUGGAGUGUUGGUUGUGGGAAUGUGAACUUUACUAACCAGCUUAGACAAGAUGAAAAAGUUACCCGUUGCAAUAAAAUCCUACUCUGGUGUUUUUUGUGUUUUUUUUUUUUUUUUUUGUCCACAAUGACAUCUAUGAAAUCAAAUGUUUUCAGGUCAGUGGUAAAAAAUGGAAGCAUUAAAUUGGGGGGAAAGAAUUGAGUUAGUUCAAAUUGAGUCUUGAUUAGCUUGAAAAGAUACAUUAACCCUUAUCAUCUAUCCCCAACUGAGGACUGAAUGACCGGGACGUGGGAAGCAUUUUAAAUUGAUGAAGUCAUUCCAUUCCACUUAGAAGCAUAUUUCUGACCAAAAAAAAAGAAAAUGGUUUAGAGUUAUAUUUUAUAAACUCUUUUUUUUUUCUUGGUAGGAGAAAUAAAGCUCUUAAAUCUUAUACAAAAGAAGUAAUGAAAUAAGAAACAGUAUCUAAACCCUUAGAUUUUGCCUUUGUCAUUCCCACAAAUAACCAUGAGUCUGACAUAGGCAUUUUGACCCUAAUAUAAUCUAAAGGGGAAAAGAAUUGAUUCAAAUUAGUCUCCUGCUGAAAGCAAGUUGCCCUAGAUAAAGUCCAAAAUCUUGGAUAUUUUUAUGUGUGUAAAAUCCUUAAAGUAAAAUCAUGUGUUCCAUCAAAUUAAAUGUAUGCUAUUUUGAUCAUUUUUCACAUUGGUGAAUUUACUGAAAGGUUUAUCAUUAAGUAUAAUAAAUGCAAUGAAUGUUACAUCAUUUUUCAUAGAGGACAUUUCAGGGAAAGUUGAGUCCAAAAAGUAUCAUAAUAAAUCAAAAUGAACAAAAACCACCAAAUAAAUCGUACACAUAUUACCUAGAUCCAGUCUGAUGUGCAAAAAGAAAAUUGUAGAGACAGUGCAAUUGGACCACGUAAAUCACUUUUAAAGAAUCACGCUCACAGCUGGCUGGCUGGACUUGGGCCAUACUUUAUUAUCUGAGGAUGUUCUUUUCUUCUUUCCUCAGAUUUUGCAAAUGCAUUACAACAUUUCAUCUGUCAGUCUUAAUACAAAUGGCCAUUUAAGCCUUGAAAUUGCCCGUAUUCUGUCUCAUAAGUAAUAUCAUGGGAGUGGGCAGAGUCUCUGCCAGAGUCCCAGCUGGUGUGGAGUGGGACUGCAGCCUCCUUGCUAGUGAAGCACCCCCCCCACCAAGGAAGGGAAGCACUUCAGUGGGAGUCCCACUCGAUGCGCCUUUGGGAUCAUCCGUUAGAGUGUGUUUUAUCAGUAAAUAAAACAUUAUUGAGAGUCUCCUAGUUGUAAGUGUGUUUCUACAACUGAAAACCCACACAGACCCUUCUUUCCAAACUCAGGAUAACCAAAUUUCGUCAGUUCUUGCUAUUCUUUCAGAUGGCUUAUGUAAGAUCAGGUAUGGAUCUAUCUGUAUGGAACUGUCUUUAUCUUGACAGUUUGGACAGAAUAAAAAAGGGGGCCAAGAAGCACCUGUCUUGACCAGAUUAGCCAAAUUAAAAAAAAAAAAAACCCACGUAGAACAAUAACAUGGCAAUAAUAUGCAGUGAGUUAAAAGGACUGAAAGAGAUAAAAUGAUAAUAAAGGUAAAUAUUUUUAACUAAUAGAUAGUUAUCAAAUGCAAUAUGGAGAAAAUUAAGUGGCAAUUUUGCUUCCACAUUCAAAAAUUGUUAUAUAACAUAGCCAUGCAUGUAUCCAAAGAGAAUGGAGUAGAGAACAGACAGAUAUUUAACCUCAUUUAUUUAUUUGUUGUAUCAUAUUGCAUUGGAAGUUGUAACCCAUGGAUGUCAGUGUGUUUAAAAAUAUCUUGUGAGGGGUUGGGGUGCAGCUCAAGGAGAGAGGCUGUGCUCUGUGUGCACAAGAUCCCAGGUUCCAUUCUAGCCCCCAAACAGAAAUUUCAGGAACAACAGCAAUAUUGAAUCUAUAAUAUUCCCAAAUGUUUCUUCUCAACUUUGAUCCAUUUAACCAAGUCAAGCCAAAUUUAACAAGUAUGGUUAUCCCUAGCAAUGUUCUAACACACUAAUGUUCUUAGGAAGGGAGUGUACUUCAUUACAGUGGACUUAUAGUUAAUGUCCCUAUUAACCAAGACUGAAAAUCAAACACUUUUGCUUCACAAAACAAGUACAGUCUAUACUAAGAGUUCUCAAACUUGAGCUUGUAUCAGCAUUUCCUGGAGUGCUCCUUAGUAACAGGACCCAUCUCUGGAAUUUCCAACUCCAAGGGCUGGGGGUGGAUGGGAAUCUGUUUUUAACAAGCUCCUUCAUGGUGUCAAUGCUGCAGGUCUGGGGCAAGUUGAUUUAUUCUAACAAAAAGGUUUGCUUUCUUGUUAUUUCUGUUCUUUAAAACAAAACAAAACAAAAACAAGCUAUUAUUAUUUGGGUCUCUCUGUUAUGCACCCAGGUCAAGGUUGGGACUCAGAGUUAGGACUUUCAGUGGUUCCGUGGUGGAUGAUACCAGCUGCCUUUGCCUCAGGCAGCCUGGGUGACUGCCCUCACUGAUGGGUGAAACUUCCUGUGGAAAGAGUCCACUGCAUUAUGCCUAAGUGCCAAAGUGUCAUGACAGCUUGGCUGAUGCUGUGCUUACACAGUGCUCCCAGCUAAAUACCUUGCUAGGUAUUGCUCAAGGUCCUCAGUAUAGCCCAGUGAUACUCAGAGGGGAGAUCCUGCUCAGUGAGUGGCAGGGCUGGGGCUUCUCCCAUUUGUCCCCAGUUCGUCCUUAGAAGUCAGACUUUCUCAGAAGUUAGCUGCAGCCACUCUCACUCUGGAAGACCUGUCCCAAGGCAAAAACUGUGUGCCUCAAAGUGGCAUCUCACGAUCUCUGUUGGAGCAGCUGUUUCUAGAGUUGGGGCUGGGGCUGAGUACUGAGCUCUGGGACACACGUGGUACUGGUGGGAAGUUUGCUCAAAAAAUAAGCACAGGACCAAACUUCACCAACCACCUAAGAUUGGCAUGGUUGUCUCCCAGGGGACUGCAAAAUAGAUGCUCCAUCACAUGAAUGGGCAGGGCGUUUGAUUAGAGAGGGUGGAUGAAGGGCCUGGAGGACUCUGGCCCCCACAGUGGUCUUCAGGUGUGCUACCUUUUAUGUGUCAAGUGUGUUCAUAAAUUGUUAUCUGGAUUAAAAUCAGAAAUUUUAGAAAUAAACUGUCAUGGAACAGGUAGUCAGCAAAAUUUCCACGGAGGUACUGAUUUGAACCUAGUGCCAGCAGAGCCAGAGAAUGGCAGAGCUGACCCUUCACACCCUGCCUGGUGGACGCUUCACCUGUCAAGUCAAUGUUGUCAAACCACUCACAAGUGGACAAGAAGUUCUGGUCAAAGUCCUCAAAAAUUAUCAGGAAGGCUAUUUGUCAUGUGGGUUUGCAUCUAGCAUUUUAAAGCCAUCGACCUUGUCCUUGGAUGAUAUUGAGUCUGAAGAUAUUUACUAUAACAUCAAUACAUCCUAUAAACUAUAUGUACAACUUAUAAUAAAGCAAAUAUAUAUGUAUUGUGAUGCGUGCACAAGAGUUUUCCUUUUUUUCUGAGAGUAGCAUGCAGUUUUAAAAAACUUGUAGACGUUUGUUGUAAUAAGAGUUUUGCAGCUGGUGAGGAAAGAUUUUCGAAUGUCUGGCAUUUAUGGGUCGUCAUUGAUCUUGCUAUCUGAUAGACAAAUCAACAGUGUGUGCUUCUGAUUGAAGUUACUCUGAAGCUGGCUUUCUCUGUGAAAACCUGCUCUCCUAUAAAAUGAAAAUGUGCACAGAGCUGUUAAGAAGAUUGAAGAUACUGAGGCACAGGAAGUUGAUAGCACAGUACCAGCCACACGGUAAAGGCGAGAACGAUCUCACAAGAAGAGCAGGUUCUAAUGCACAAGCAAAUGCUUGGUAGUCAGGUUAGUGGUUUCCAUGUGCCAACGUUCUUGGGACACCCAGUUAGCUCUGGAAAUAAUCUCUUUAAUGAAUGAGAGUGCUCUGAGGUAUUUUGACCAUAAAAUUUGUCUCACUCUUCAAUUCUCUUGUUUUUAUUUAUAAAAGCAACUCCUGGGAUGCUGGGCAUAUCCUAAGAAAAGCACAUAAGAGAAAAAUGGAAUAUGGAGAAUCCAUUUAAAGUUGUACUAUACUUUAAAAGGAAUUGUUUCUAGGGACUCAGGGAGAUCUGAAGGAUUCGGAUUAAAUUUCAAAAUGGCUAGUACAUUUCUAUUACAGGAAGGCCUUUUGACACAGGUCUAAUAGCAGCCCUUCUUUCAAUCAAUUUUAGAUUCAUAUAAUCUGAAAGAGAUCAGGUCCUUGUAAUGUGGAAAAGUUCAGCACAUUGCUGUCAUGUUUGUAUCCCACCUGGUGAGAGGCGUGUCAUCCCCAAGGGUGCGAGGCAAUGCCUUGUGGUGACCUGGAGCACCACCACAAACACUGAGCCCAAAUUUGCCUCAGAUUUGGGGACUUUUAUAUAUCAAGCCUUGGUUCCUUUCAUUUUGCAUUUGAACGGAUUUUUUGUUUCAAGACCAGGAAACCUGCACUUUAUUUACUGUUCAAUCUAGUACAGGUACCAUUCCCUAUCUUAAUACAUGUAAGGUUGCCUUUGAACACUCUAGAUACUUAGAAACACAAGAAGCCUGGAGAAAACAACUUUGGGCCUUGCCACUAUUUGCUUCAAAUGCCUCUUCCUUUCUGCAGGGACACCAAUGCAGGCAAUGGUGGGCAUUUAGCACGGGUUGCCCCUCUGUGGGUUUGCAUCUGAGCUGCAUGGACCACCUUGAACUCCACCUGCCGCGUAGCGCUGCUUCCUAAUAGUUGCUCAGAAGCCACGCUUCUCCUUCGACGUUCGUGCAUACAACUUCUGUGCUGGGCAUUGAUUUUUGUGGGUCAUCGUAAAGAGCAAGAUAAAUAACCUGUGGACUAAAUUCAGUGUAAGUGUGCAUACUUUAAAUAGGGUUAAAAACUCCUUAAUGUUGAAAUUUCUUUAGCUUGGCAGUAAAACAAAAUCAAUGCUAAUUUAAUAGGAGCUCACAAACCAAGUUUUGCUUUCAUUGCCCUUUCAAAAGAGUAAAGUGCCGCAGUUAUAAACAGAAUUAGUAAUUGCUUGGUUGAUAUGCCUGUUGAAUAGCAGAUGAUUCUUAUUCAGUCUAUUCCCUUUAAAAUCCAUUACCUUAAUUUUAGAUAUAUUACUUGAUAACAAGACUGUUGAUCAAAAUGGUUGCAUUAAACCUGCUUAUAAUUUUGUAAAGUGAUUUUUAAUUCCUCCUAAACACCCUUCCUCCUGGCAGAGGAAAAAAAAAUUGCUCCUGGCUUGCUCAAAAUUGGCCCUGUUUUUCUUAGAUGAUCUUUAAUUACACUUUAAAGCAGCAUUUCUUAAUGGGGGAUUGGAAUUCUGCUUGUUAGAAAAUUACAGAGGGUAUUUGGGGAUCUGCUGUUAGCUGCAGGAACAAAUAGAGAGAUUAGUGAGACAAAUGAUCAGUAGCCUAAAAAAUUACCUGUGGGAGAUAAUUAUUAGCCCAGGGAAGAUCUGGCUGUGGUCAUAAAGGCUGCUAGAUUAUGAGCUUAUCAAGCCCGUCUUAGGAGCCGCUGAGGAGCCCAAAGAAGGUUUAUAUUAGUCACCAAGCAUCAGUGCAGGGGUCAUCUUGGAGAUUAAUGAAUUUACCGCAGCUUCUUCCCAGGCCCAGCCAUAACAACAUGAUGGAGGCUAGAGUCGGAGGAAGAGGAGGCUGGGAGGCCAAAGCCACUGAACCCACACAUGGAUGGAACCAGAAAGAAGGUUUCAUGGCAUAUUUUGGAGCAAGAAGGCAGAAGCGGAAGGUGCACAAGAGAGGGUAAAAGGUCAUAGUACCUCCCUUACAAGGUGUGCAAAGAUGACCAGAAUUGAGGGUAGCUACCCGGUGGCCAAGGACCUUCAAGAUUCUCCCAUGUCAUGUCAUCCUUACUGAGGCCAGGGCUGAUGUGCCAACCAUGUCAUGUAGCAACCUUAUCUUAGUGAGAUGAACAUCUCAAGAUGGAUUUUGUAGGCUCUUGUUACAGACGUACGUAGUUUCAGCAUGAGAUAUAGUGGCCACUGUGGCACGCGCCAGAGCAGGAGAGAGGCACUGGUGAGGAGCCGCAGGGGCAGGGACUCUAUCUUGCCUGGUAUGUCUGCCUGCAAGGCUCUGCUUUUGUGUGGAAAGGACAGAGACAGCAUUGAGGCCAGACGACCCACCCGUCUCUCUCAUGACUGUAUUUUAAUCGCCACCCUUUGUAAAAACCAAGCGCAGAUAGAUGUUCAAUAAAAACUUGUUAACUCAGUGGAUGAGCAAUUAAGGUGACAGACGUGCUUUACUUAUAAAUGGGUAGAUUCUGAGGAGUAACUAUGACUUUUUAUCCAUGUUUUUCCCCCUUUAAAUGGAAAUGAGUACGACUCCGACUACACCAGAGCUUUCUUCCUAAGAGUCACAGUUUAUGUUCAUUGUUUAGUUUGGAAAACUAGGUGGCCCCAAGUCAACUUAACCUCUUGUUAGAAGACUGUGUAAGGCAUCAGAUCAUGUAUGAGAGGACAUAGAGAAAGUGACAUUUGUUCUGUGCCCUCAAAGCACUUCAAAGCAAUCCUGCAGACUGGCGUGGUGGCACACACUUGUAGUCCCAGGCACUUGGGAGGCUGAGGAGGGGGGAUCACUUGAGACUGGGAUUGGAGGCCAGCCUGAGCAACAUGGCGAGACCCUGUCUCUCUCUCUCUCUCUCUCUCACACACACACACACACACACACAAUCACUAAUGAUAUAUAUAUUCCAAUAACAAUCAGAAUCAGAAAAUUUUCAGCAUGGUGACAAUGUACUGGCUGCACUUAGUGUGGAUCACCAUCCUUCUGGGGGCUGUAUAGGCAGCCCACGGAGGUCAUGGAUGGCUUGUUUUCCACCAGGCUGAGUAGCACCAAAGGUCUAGCAAUAAAUGAUGCAGAUGUCAUUAUUACUGCAGAGGGGGCACUUCAGUGGCCUUGCCUACGGUUCCUUGAUGCUUGCUCUGGGGACUGGCUUAUUUUUCUGUAUAUUUUUGUUUCUAUCUCAUUUAGAACACAGAGUGACAGGGAAUUAAUAUUUGUUGAAAAAAUAUAUCAAGGGCUAUUAACAACUUUUUCUACUCCUUUACAGUUUGCAAUAAGAACAUUGGCAAGGUCAGGGAAUCUUUCAUGGGUGGUCCCUACCUAGGUCUCACUUCAGGUGACAGCAGAGGUGGGCCCCCGAUGUGGCUUGGAAUAGAAGUCAAUAUGUCUAUCGGACAUGAUGCCCACAGGCACCAUGGAGAGUACUUUGGAAUGGUCCCCUCACACCUUCCAGGUCAUAGGCACUCCAGGGGCAGAGUGUCAUUUGCUUCACAGGUGAAAUGAUCUUAUCUUUCUUAUUUAUUUUUUUUUAUACUGGAGAUUAAACUUGGGCGCUUUACUACUGAGCUACAUCCCCAGCCCCAUGCCUGAUUUUAUUAAGACGGGAUCUUACUAAGUUUCUGAGGCUGGCUUGCUAAGUCUCCUGAGUCACACAGAUUACAGGCAGUGGCCCCUGGCCCACAUUUCUGAAUUUCAAAUAAAUACUGAACCUGAAUAAAGACUUUAUGACUUCUAGGUCUUGUCUUUUAAAUAAAGAACCAUCAGUCCAGGGCUCCCCCAUGUGUCUUCUGACUGGGAAAACAGAUCAGAGGGGCACACAGUCUCAGCACGUCCACACAGGCAAACAUACACGUGCGUGCACACACAAUCACACACUGUCCAAUACACAGAAAAGAAGUGCCAACACUGGCCACCUGGGAAAGGGCCCAUUAGGGCUGCUUGGCAGUCUUCUGUGUCUGCAAAUUUGCAAAGUCCCCAGAAGGACAUAAUGGUCCCCUCGUCCUAAUCUCAGCUUUAUCGCCUCACUGCUAGAAGAUUUACCCUCUGAAAGACUCCGACGUUUGGCAAGUCCUGCCUGGAAGGGAAAAGCCUCAGGAACAGAAGACGGUCACUUGAGCCUGGGCAGCGUUGCUUGGCCCUGCUGGGAGCCUUCAUCCCUGUUACUGUGCAGAGCAAGAGAAUGCCGUCCACUCUGUAGCUCGAAUCAUUCUUCAAGACUGUGACCUCUGUGUACCUGCAAGUACCUUACUUUAAACAACUUUGAGAUCAAAGUUCUAUUAUUGUUCACUUACUGCUGUAAAAACUUAGACCCAGUGGUAGGAAAAUCUUGAGCUGACUGUGGUCCCAAGAUAUAGAAUUUCUGGCAUUAUGUGGUUAUUUUUAUGAGAUCCAUAAACUUUGGUUAAAGGUCCACAAUUGCACACCAUUCUAUUCAAAGUAACCCAAAAAUACUUCCUUAGUUUUAUCAGCUCAGUGACUUUCCAGACUUGCAUGUUCCAAUCGACCAUAGUUGUUACCAAAGUUUGGUGGUAGUUAGAGUUUUGAUGAGUCACCCCAAAAUAUUGGGUCUAUCUCCCUGAGAGACCACUGUGCAUUUAUUGUUUCCUCCUUUAAAAAAAAAAAAAAACUGGUAGAAACACACCAGCUCCACAGACUCCGAGCGCCGUCCCAGCUUAAAUGGUAGUGGCAGAAAGAAAAACAAGAGGCCGUGUUUACCCCUCGUGAUUCCAAAUUGUUGUGUCUUCCAGAUGGCUCCCGGAGGUCAGAUUACUACAGCGAAUGCCGUUCUGAAAAUGUUUCUCUUGGUAUCCAAAGGCAUCAAAUUAAAAAUCUCAGAUUCGUGGAAUUUUAACAUAACCCACAUUUUGGGAGUGGGGACAUCACUAGGGUUUUCCUGCCUUGCUAUCUCAGGCCUGCAAUGCUAACUGACCACCGGCGUUGUUUUCUGGGAGAUAAUGUGUUCCAGCUGCUCUGUUACCACCUCUUCCUUGCUGUCUUAUUCAAGCCACAACUUUGGUAUAACUUCAGCUUUUCGGAUCAGGAUCAACUGGAUGGCUAGGUAUAUCCAUUAGAAAUUAAACGCUGAGCUGCAAGGCAACCACCAUCAAGGCCUG
rnacentral:lncRNA from 1 species